UACGGAGGGCGCAAACGUUGCUCGGAAUCACUGGGCGUAAAGGGGGCGUAGGCGGGCCUGUAAGUCGGAUGUGAAAGCCCUCGGCUCAACCGAGGAAUUGCAUUCGAAACUAUAGGUCUUGAGUUCGGUAGAGGGAAGCGGAAUUCCUGGUGUAGCGGUGAAAUGCGUUGAUAUCAGGAGGAACACCAGCGGCGAAGGCGGCUUCCUGGGCCGAUACUGACGCUGAGGCCCGAAAGCGUCGGGUAGCAAACGGG
rnacentral:misc_RNA from 1 species